rnacentral:rRNA from 1 species
UACGAAGGGGGCAAGCGUUGUUCGGAAUUACUGGGCGUAAAGGGCGCGCAGGCGGCUGAUCAAGUCAGAUGUGAAAGCCCCGGGCUCAACCUGGGAAUAGCAUUUGAGACUGGUCGGCUAGAGUUCGGGAGAGGAGAGUGGAAUUCCCAGUGUAGAGGUGAAAUUCGUAGAUAUUGGGAAGAACACCGGUGGCGAAGGCGGCUCUCUGGACCGAUACUGACGCUGAGGCGCGAAAGCGUGGGGAGCAAACAGG